UUACGGUCACAAGUGUGCGAGGGAACUGCACAACUUGAUUCCUCCUAGUCCUUUCCAUCGCCGAACCACAAGACAAUCGGCGAGGCGUCACCGUUUCAUGGUAGACAUCCCACCCACUCGCACGAAGCGCUUCGCUUCAAGCUUCCUUGUGCGAACUGCUAGGGAGUGGAACUCCUUGCCGGAGUCUGUGUUUCCUGAUGGGUAUAAUCUGGGUGUCUUCAAAGCCCGAGUGAAUAGGUUGCUUAUGGGCAGACGUGCUCCAUCGUAGGCCGCAUCAUCACUUACCAUCAGGCGAGAUAGCAGCCAAACGUCGACCUAUCAAAUGUAAAAA